AUGUUGCCUCCAUCCCUGGCCUUCUUCUUGGCGUGUACUCGUUGGUCAUGCUCCGCUUCCUCCACUCCCACCUCUCGGCCUCGACACCUCUGCGUAUUUCUCCAUCACUCUCUUGCAGUGUUGUUAUCUUUUCAGGUAUGUGCUGAGAAUCCUAGGUGCGGCGACCUCAACAAUGUCCCAUCGUUGCCGGCGGUCUCCUAUAUGCUCCUGCGGAAUAAGUUCUUCCUGACCACCUCGACACUCACCGCCGCCGAGGAAUCCAGGGACAAGACUACCACCAAGUUGCUCAUCCGCCUUCAGGUGCAGACGGUGGGCUCUGCGUGGUCGAACCUAAGUUAG
rnacentral:rRNA from 1 species